rnacentral:tRNA from 1 species
GCCGCCAUAGCUUAGUGGUAGAGCAUCCGCCUUGUAAGCGGAAGGUCGUGGGUUCAAUCCCCACUGUCGGCU